GAUGAACGCUGGCGGCGUGCCUAAUACAUGCAAGUCGAGCGAACGGACGAGAAGCUUGCUUCUCUGAUGUUAGCGGCGGACGGGUGAGUAACACGUGGAUAACCUACCUAUAAGACUGGGAUAACUUCGGGAAACCGGAGCUAAUACCGGAUAAUAUUUUGAACCGCAUGGUUCAAAAGUGAAAGACGGUCUUGCUGUCACUUAUAGAUGGAUCCGCGCUGCAUUAGCUAGUUGGUAAGGUAACGGCUUACCAAGGCAACGAUGCAUAGCCGACCUGAGAGGGUGAUCGGCCACACUGGAACUGAGACACGGUCCAGACUCCUACGGGAGGCAGCAGUAGGGAAUCUUCCGCAAUGGGCGAAAGCCUGACGGAGCAACGCCGCGUGAGUGAUGAAGGUCUUCGGAUCGUAAAACUCUGUUAUUAGGGAAGAACAUAUGUGUAAGUAACUGUGCACAUCUUGACGGUACCUAAUCAGAAAGCCACGGCUAACUACGUGCCAGCAGCCGCGGUAAUACGUAGGUGGCAAGCGUUAUCCGGAAUUAUUGGGCGUAAAGCGCGCGUAGGCGGUUUUUUAAGUCUGAUGUGAAAGCCCACGGCUCAACCGUGGAGGGUCAUUGGAAACUGGAAAACUUGAGUGCAGAAGAGGAAAGUGGAAUUCCAUGUGUAGCGGUGAAAUGCGCAGAGAUAUGGAGGAACACCAGUGGCGAAGGCGACUUUCUGGUCUGUAACUGACGCUGAUGUGCGAAAGCGUGGGGAUCAAACAGGAUUAGAUACCCUGGUAGUCCACGCCGUAAACGAUGAGUGCUAAGUGUUAGGGGGUUUCCGCCCCUUAGUGCUGCAGCUAACGCAUUAAGCACUCCGCCUGGGGAGUACGACCGCAAGGUUGAAACUCAAAGGAAUUGACGGGGACCCGCACAAGCGGUGGAGCAUGUGGUUUAAUUCGAAGCAACGCGAAGAACCUUACCAAAUCUUGACAUCCUUUGACAACUCUAGAGAUAGAGCCUUCCCCUUCGGGGGGCAAAGUGACAGGUGGUGCAUGGUUGUCGUCAGCUCGUGUCGUGAGAUGUUGGGUUAAGUCCCGCAACGAGCGCAACCCUUAAGCUUAGUUGCCAUCAUUAAGUUGGGCACUCUAAGUUGACUGCCGGUGACAAACCGGAGGAAGGUGGGGAUGACGUCAAAUCAUCAUGCCCCUUAUGAUUUGGGCUACACACGUGCUACAAUGGACAAUACAAAGGGCAGCGAAACCGCGAGGUCAAGCAAAUCCCAUAAAGUUGUUCUCAGUUCGGAUUGUAGUCUGCAACUCGACUACAUGAAGCUGGAAUCGCUAGUAAUCGUAGAUCAGCAUGCUACGGUGAAUACGUUCCCGGGUCU
rnacentral:rRNA from 1 species